GGUUCCGUGGCCUAAUUUCCAGGGCACUAGAUAUCGGUUAACUAUUCAAUUCUCCAGAUGUUGUCGGUUCGAGUCCGGCCGAAAUCG